rnacentral:miRNA from 15 species
ACCAUUGACCGUUGAUUGUACC